AGACCAGCUGCAGUGGCAACAUGGCUGCCCAAGCGAACAAAAAGACACCUAAAUUGAGGUCAAGCAUUCUGACAGAUCCAAGCUGGAAUGCAAGUGGGUCGGCAACCCCCAGUUCAGGAUCGGAAAUCAUUCCUCUCAUGCCUCAGAGCGGAGUAGUGCUGACGCUGGAACUGAGCAGGCCAGGGGAAUACCCUGUGGGCUUUACCUGUCUCUCUGAGACUACAAACAUUAAUGUUGGCCGUGUGGGUCCAAUAAAAUGUUGCUUACAUACUGAAUCAAAUGUUUAAAACUGAAUCAAGGGCAAAAAUCUGUUUUUCUCCACAGCUGUUCAGAUUAAGUGUCUUUUUAUUAUUAAUUAGCCUUUCUUUCUUCUACAUAUUACUACAUAUUUAUGGCUGAAAAAUAUUUUCUGAGCAGCCUGUGCCACGGCAUCAACAGAGCUCUUUUGUUCUUGAUCAUGAACUUUCAAACCUAAGGACUGUGUGUGACAUUGAACUAGUGAGGACUCAACAAUAUGGCCCAGUAGCCCAGGGCCAGCUUAUGAAACUGUAUGUAGACAUACAGUAUAUACUACAGUUGGUGUGUGUGUGUGUGUGUGUGUGUGUGUGUGUGUGUGUGUGUGUGUGUGUGUGUGUGUGUGUGUGUGAAAAAUAAUGGAAUAGAAAACACUUCUUUCAAAUUGUGAUAAGAUUUCUCAUUGUUACUGCUUUUGAAAUUUUAUUCAAAUAAAUGCAGCUUUGCAGUUAAAAAAAUAUCUUUAUCUAAAAAAAAAAAAAGUGACCAUCCCUAAAAAUUUGAACAGUAAUGUUUACUACUAUUGCCUUAACUUUUGUUAGAUGUUGCUAGAUCAUUUUAGGUUUCAUAAAAUACCCCUCUGUGCUUCUUCAGUCUUGAUUAUCUAGUGUUAUAACAAACCUGAUCUGUGUCUAAUGAGAGCAAUCAAACAUCAGUGGAGACCAAACACUGUUUCCCUGGGGGUCUAGAUAUUUCACAUUGAAUACAGAUCAACCAUUUACAUAUUAUGUUAUGAAUAAAUUAAUGUUUUCAUUCACCAACAGAUGCGAUGUCAGAAACACACAAUCAGAGGCUAAAUUAACAGUCCAGUUAUAACCAUUACAAUAACCAGGGGAGCUCCAAACACAGGACCAAACCAAACACAACAUCCUUUGGUUUGUUACUUGCUAACACAGAUUGGGUUAAAUCACUUUAGUAAGAGAGAAUGUACUCCAUAACAAAAAUAAUUUUUUUUCCCUUCUAUAUGUCAUUUUUUUCAGUAAUACCAGUAUUAUAAUGUUAGUUUGUGUAUAAUAAUGCAUUGUUUAUUGUGAGAAGAUUUGUAUGUUGUUUAUUGAGUACAUUUACAUAUAUCACUCUGUUUAUAUAUGGUACUAUGACAAAGUGAUUUGAAUCAUUUCUGAGCAUGUUAUUUGUUUCUUGGUUUUACAAGGCUGGGUGGGGGUGGGGGAUUGUGGAUAGAAAGCUUUUGUCUUUUCUUUGUUUUUUGAUAACCUUUCUAGAUUGUAACUCAUAAUCCAGAUUGCAGAUUAGCAGCUGUUGAUGCAGUGGUCUGAGUAUUAAUCUCCACAACUGGGUGCUCCUAUCAUCUACCUGGAUGAGGCAAGGGUCAAACCGGUCAGAAAGAGAGAGAUCCAAAACAAGCAAGUCCUACUUAUUUAAUUUGUGGCAGCUUGUGAUAACCAGCUUUAUGGGUGGCUGUCACUAUAGGAGGAUAACUCAGGAUUAUUCUUCUUGGCAACAACAAAAUGGGCAAGCAUCAUGCAAAUAAUCCUCAUGGAAUCCUUGAGGAAGAUGAUUGAGGCCUCUGGAAUAACAUCCCGAGGUCUUCCUGUUUUGUGUAAAGGGUCAGUACACCAUCUGUUUGUGAGAUGAAUGUAUAGAAAUGCACUAUUUUUUUUGUGUAUACUUGCAUAUUUGUGUUUACAAACAGUGGACAGGUGGUACAGUUUUUUUUUAGUGCAGUGGUUAGCAAAUGGUUUAGCUUCAGGUUCCAGAUUUUGCUUUAGAUAUAUGUGAGGGUGACCAUAAAUCCUCUUUUUCCUAGGUGUAUCCUGGCCGGGAUUUCUAAAUGAAAGUGUGUGACCCAAACACUGUACCAAGAUUGUGAAAAGUUCCAAAGAAUAAUGAGGACCUAUAACCAAGUUCUCAGGUGUAAACAACAUGUGCUAGAUCUUUUUCCGUCUCAGUGGAGCAGUAAAGGACACGCUCAGUCACUGCUGCCUGCACCACUUUUGUAACUCUGCUUAUACAACAUGACUCAGACGGCCGUCAGGUGGUAGAGCACAGAGGUCAUGACAGAACACGCUGAGGGGGUGGAAAGCAAACAUACUUUCAAAGCACCAAUGAUGUUAUAGUGCACUCUUAUAGGCACACCAACAGAACACAUUUUGGAUGCCCCCCUCAUCUGAGCCAUCCAUUUCAGGUCUUGGAAUCUCUGCUAAUGAGCUGAUGAGUUGAUUCAGUGACAGCAUGGUGAGUCAGCUCCCCUGAAGAGCGCUGGACUUUCCUAGCAUUGCUGUGAUACCCGAGUGCUUUGCAGAAACAGGCAGCACUUCCCAUCAAGCAGCGAUCAGUCAUUUACCCUCACCUGCAGCUCACUGUUCACACACAGGGGCAAAUUUUCUCUGUCCCUGCCUCGCUGUGCCUCACGCCUCUUUCUCAAUUCACCUCGUGCCACGCUGAGCAGUCCGAACAGUGGACGGAGAGGUGCGUGUGUUAUCAGCCCACUGAGAGAUAAUGCCACACAGGGUCUCAUUGUCUUUCACGUGCACUUGUGAGCGGGGAGAUGUGGAAAGAAGGCUGACCUGCACAUUUAGAGCUAAAUAUUCAGGAAUGACACCAUCCAAGGGUUCAUGAUGACAGAAAAGAUGAUGAGUCUCCCAUAAUGAACAGGUUACAUGAGGUUACAUAAAUAGAACAGGUUACAGGUUUGGAUAGGGACAUUUCACCCUAAAUGGAAUGUUUUGUCAUCAUUUACUAACUUUUUUUUUUCUUUUUUCUUUUUUUUUUAGGAUUUUUUUCUUCUGUGGAGCACAUUUGUAGAUGAUUAGUUUUAUGUCUUUUAUUUGUAUGUAAGGUGUCCUUGAGUGUCAUGUAAUAAUACAAUUUGUUAUUAUUAUUAUUAUUAUUAUUAUUAUUAUUAUUAUUAUUAUUAGCAGA
ensembl:lncRNA